CUUUAUCUUCACUCACUGUAGCUCUGCAUCUUUCCUCUCUCAAGCUCACACACUAAGAUUGGGGAAAAUGAUGCAAAAGUUCUCGUUUCGCCAUUUCUAAUUCCGUCAUUACAAAGAACAUCCAAAAAGAAAGAGGGAGGAUCCUGCCUCCAUAGAUUCUCUACAUUCAGCCAAGAAUAUGGCUUCCCUAGCUAGUUCAUGGACUGCCAGUGGACUUGUCUCCAAGCUUCAAUGAAAGUACUGGCUUCUCGAAUAAUGCUGCCGUGGUUGACAGGUAUGUUGUUCCAAACCUUCUGAUUUCUUGCUUUCCAUAGGCUCCAGCAGAUGGUUAAGAAGAGGCCCUGAUCGUGAUUGCUAAGCUUAUUUAAUGUGACCCUGAUCUAUUUCUUAUCUUCAAAUGAAGCAAAUACUUAAUUUUAAAACCUUACAACUACUUCACAAAUAAGAAGAGUUAAUAUUUGCCCCAACAAUAUCUUGUCUUGUCUCAUUUGGAAUCACGUGUAAUAAUAAUAAUAAUAAUAAUAAUAAUAAUAAUAAUAAUAAUAAUAAUAAUAAGGGAUAAGGGUCAAAUAACACCCUCUACUACUCAAGAAAGUUCAAUUAGCACCCUAAACUCAAAAAAUAUUCAAAUAGCAUCCUCUACUACUCAAGA